rnacentral:rRNA from 1 species
AUUGAACGCUGGCGGAAUGCUUUACACAUGCAAGUCGAACGGCAGCACGGGGGCAGCCCCGGUGGCGAGUGGCGAACGGGUGAGUAAUACAUCGGAACGUGCCCGGUCGUGGGGGAUAACGUAGCGAAAGUUACGCUAAUACCGCAUACGAUCUGAGGAUGAAAGCGGGGGACCUUCGGGCCUCGCGCGAUCGGAGCGGCCGAUGUCAGAUUAGGUAGUUGGUGGGGUAAAGGCCUACCAAGCCGACGAUCUGUAGCUGGUCUGAGAGGACGACCAGCCACACUGGGACUGAGACACGGCCCAGACUCCUACGGGAGGCAGCAGUGGGGAAUUUUGGACAAUGGGCGCAAGCCUGAUCCAGCCAUUCCGCGUGCAGGACGAAGGCCUUCGGGUUGUAAACUGCUUUUGUACGGAACGAAAAGGCUCUGGCUAAUACCUGGGGCUCAUGACGGUACCGUAAGAAUAAGCACCGGCUAACUACGUG